GCAUUAAUGGGGUAGUGGUAACCUGGGUCGUUGCCAUGAUGGGCUAAUGAUUCUGCCAUGAGUUCUCGACCCGCCGGGGGUUCGAUUCCCCCUUAAUGCA
rnacentral:tRNA from 1 species